rnacentral:sRNA from 1 species
UUUUGGUAUACUUUUUCUUUCGCUUAU